AAAUCACCUUGACAUAUGAAGGGACAGAUUAAGUAACUUAAUAAAAGUGUUCUAUGUGUAUCAUACCAGGUACUGUAGAUACACUCAGUACCCCCAUAUCCAGGUAAACAGGUACAUACACUCAGUACCCCAUGAGGACAUCCAGGUAGAUACACUCAGUACCCCGAUAUCCAGGUAAACAGGUACAUACACUCAGUACCCCAUGAGGAUAUCCAGGUAGAUACACUCAGUACCCCAUGAGGAUAUCCAGGUAGAUACACUCAGUACCCCAUGAGGAUAUCCAGGUAGAUACACUCAGUACCCCAUGAGGAUAUCCAGGUAGAUACACUCAGUACCCCAUGAGGAUAUCCAGGUAGAUACACUCAGUACCCCAUGAGGAUAUCCAGGUAGAUACACUCAGUACCCCAUGAGGAUAUCCAGGUAGAUACACUCAGUACCCCAUGAGGAUAUCCAGGUAGAUACACUCAGUACCCCAUGAGGAUAUCCAGGUAGAUACACUCAGUACCCCAUGAGGAUAUCCAGGUAGAUACACUCAGUACCCCAUGAGGAUAUCCAGGUAGAUACACUCAGUACCCCAUGAGGAUAUCCAGGUAGAUACACUCAGUACCCCAUGAGGAUAUCCAGGUAGAUACACUCAGUACCCCAUGAGGAUAUCCAGGUAGAUACACUCAGUACCCCAUGAGGAUAUCCAGGUAGAUACACUCAGUACCCCCAUGAGGAUAUCCAGAUAGAUACACUCAGUACCCCAUGAGGAUAUCCAGGUAGAUACACUCAGUACCCCAUGAGGAUAUCCAGGUAGAUACACUCAGUACCCCAUGAGGACAUCCAGGUAAACAGGUAGAUACAGUCAGUACCCCAUGAGGACAUCCAGGUAAACAGGUAGAUACAGUCGGUACCCCAUGAGGACAUCCAGGUAAACAGGUAGAUACAGUCAGUACCCCAUGAGGACAUCCAGGUAAACAGGUAGAUACAGUCGGUACCCCAUGAGGACAUCCAGGUAAACAGGUAGAUACAGUCAGUACCCCAUGAGGACAUCCAGGUAAACAGGUAGAUACAGUCAGUACCCCAUGAGGACAUCCAGGUAAACAGGUAGAUACAGUCAGUACCCCAUGAGGACAUCCAGGUAAACAGGAAGUGGAGCUGGGAAAACACCUCUCUCUUACCUCACUUUAAGCUGCUGUUUGCACCUGUACUUUUAGAUGUCAUUUUUUCCUAGUGUGUAGUCGGUUCAGCUCUUUCCCUACAGUGAUAUCACUUAUUAACUUAUGUUGCCUGCAAAAUCGGCACCCUAUUCCCUAUGUAGUGCACUACUUUUAACAGGCACCUAUGGACCGUGGUCAAAAGUAGUGCACUAUAUAGGGAAUAGGGUGCUAUUUGUGAAGCAACCAAAGAGUGUUGCCAAGUAGUUUCGUAUUGGCUCAGUUGGUAGAGCAGUGCUUGCAACACUGGGGUUGUGGGUUCAAGUCCCAUGGGAAUGGACUACUGUAAGUUGUUCUGGGUAAGAGUGCCUGCUAAAUGAUUAAAUGUGAAUAAAUGCAGUGUAACUCUCACAGAACAGGUUGUGUUUGCCUGUGAUACGGUGUGGGUGGUGCCAUUGGUAUUAAACAAUAGCGUUGAACGGUUGCACAAUCCCGUGUAGGCUUUCUUCAGAAUUUACUUCAACAGUCAAGUAAAUGAAUACCCACAUGCCUUGGGGCAAGUGCUAUUUUUAUUCUAUUACCGCGAAAACAAUGGUGAGACAAUGAUGUCAAAUGUAUUUACAUCAGCUGAUAUCGCAAAGUGCUGUACAGAAACCCAGCCUAAAACCCCAAACAGGAAGCAAUGCAGAUGUAGAAGCAGCUAAACAGAAAUAUCACAUCUUUGUGUAGAAAGAUUGGUGUCGGUGUUCUAUUAUAAUAGCAUUCUAAGGGUAUUCCAAUCCUUCAGGCAUUAGAAUUUACUGUGAGAGUUGAGCCAGAAUUCUAUUAAUGUAUUCUAUUAAUUAUAUUUCUAUUAACACCCCUUUGUGUCAGUGGUAUUUGUGUUCUAUUAUAGCAUUCUGGGAGUAACCCAAUCCUUUAGUCUGUAGUAGACUGUACGGUGAGAGUUGAGCCAGCUAGCCGAUUAACUGGAACAGUGGCUCAUUGUGAAAUACAUCAUGCACCAGUUGGUGGUAUUCAUGUAGUUUUAAAAGGUUGAAACUAUCAGCUUUAAAAAUGUUUUCCCCGUUAAGAGGCAAUAGUGCUCUGCUGCGUGGUUCUGUACAUAGCUUGUUCCGAAGACAAUGAUGAAAAGACGGCAUUCGCAACUUGAGAACAACAUAAUGUCCACAGUCCCCGUCCUACAACCUGGUCUCAAAGACUACCACCGCAAAACUUCUGCUUUUCAGCCAUAGAAAUGCAGAUAGAUAUUUCUGACACCAAGCAUUGCCAUAAAGGGAAUUAGUGUGCUAUUGUGUUUGUCAUGUUUAAAUUACAACAUAGUGCAGAUUCAAACACACUCUGUUAAGU